UACGAAGGGGGCUAGCGUUGCUCGGAAUUACUGGGCGUAAAGCGUGCGCAGGCGGUUUUGUAAGUCUGACGUGAAAUCCCCGGGCUCAACCUGGGAAUUGCGUUGGAGACUGCAAGGCUGGAGUCUGGCAGAGGGGGGUAGAAUUCCACGUGUAGCAGUGAAAUGCGUAGAGAUGUGGAGGAACACCGAUGGCGAAGGCAGCCCCCUGGGUCAAGACUGACGCUCAUGCACGAAAGCGUGGGGAGCAAACAGG
rnacentral:rRNA from 1 species